AGGGCGAACGGUGGAUGCCUUGGUGCCGAGCGGCGAAGAAGGACGUGGAUACCUGCGAAAAGCCACGGGGAGCUGGUAAGCGAGCAUCGAUCCGUGGAUCUCCGAAUGGGGAAACCCGCACCGGGUAAUGCCGGUCAGGGCGCACUGAAUCCAUAGGUGCGUCCCCGCGAACGAGGGGAACUGAAAUAUCUCAGUACCUUCAGGAAAAGAAAGCAACCGCGAUUCUCCAAGUAGCGACGAGCGAACGGGGAACAGCCCAAACCAGAUGAGCCUCCAGGCGUUGGGGCCGCAUGCUCUUCUGGGGUCGUGGGACUGGAACGGAGGUGACCCAAUUCACCUCGGGAAGUGAAAAAAUCGAUACUUAGCCGAACGCGUUGGAAACUGCGGUCAAAGAGGGUGAUAGCCCCGUAGGCGAAAAGUACCGAUCUUCCUGGUUCCGGCACCCAAGUAGCGCGAGGCACGUGAAACCUCGCGUGAAUUCGGGAGGACCAUCUUCCAAGGCUAAAUACGUCUCGGCAACCGAUAGUGAACCAGUACCGUGAGGGAAAGGUGAAAAGCACCCCAGCAAGGGGAGUGAAAUAGCACCUGAAACCGUUUGCCUACAAGCAGUGGGAGCUCUAUGCCCUUCGGGGCACGAGUGACCGCGUGCCUUUUGCAUAAUGAGUCCGCGAGUUACGUUACGUGGCAAGGUUAAGCCGUCAGGCGAAGCCGAAGCGAAAGCGAGUCCUAAUAGGGCGUCGAGUCGCGUGAUGUAGACCCGAAACUAGGUGAUCUACCCAUGGCCAGGUUGAAGCUCGGGUAAAACCGGGUGGAGGACCGAACUCACCAAGGUUGAAAACUUGGGGGAUGAGCUGUGGGUAGGGGUGAAAGGCUAAUCAAACCUGGAAAUAGCUGGUACUCCCCGAAACAUAUUUAGGUAUGGCGUCGGUCGGUCUCUUGCGGAGGUAGAGCACUGAUUGGGCUAGGGGCCCCACCAGGUUACCAACCCCAGUCAAACUCCGAAUGCCGCAAAGAGCAGUCCGGCAGUCAGCCCACGGGAGCUAAGUUCCGUGGACGAGAGGGAAACAUCCCAGAUCGCCAGCUAAGGUCCCAGAAUACACGCUAAGUGGCAAAGGAUGUGGGAGCGCAUUGACAACCAGGAGGUUGGCUUAGAAGCAGCCAUCCUUUAAAGAAAGCGUAAUAGCUCACUGGUCAAGCGAGCCUGCGCCGAAAAUAUAACGGGGCUCAAGCGUGUUACCGAAGCUGCGGGAUGGAGCGCAAGCCCAUCGGUAGGGGAGCAUUCCGGCGACGUGGAAGCUGUACCGUGAGGAGCAGUGGAGACGCCGGAAGAGACUAUGCGGACACGAGUAGCGAUAAACAAGGUGAGAAACCUUGUCGCCGUAAGCCUAAGGAUUCCUGGGCUAGGUUAAUCCUCCCAGGGUUAGUCGGACCCUAAGCCGAGGCCGAGAGGCGUAGGUGAUGGAAAGCAGGCGAAUAUUCCUGCACCGAUUGGGUGUCGUUGAAGCAGGGGGAACGAAGAAGGGUAGGUCAGCCUCCGAUUGGACGUGGAGGUUCAAGCCGGUAGGGGGGUUUGGUGGACCCGUUUGGGACAAACAUCGGACCAUAACCCCGAGAAGCGAUGAGGAGGAGCCUAGCUCCGCUAACUGAUUGAGCCCAUGCUUCCAAGAAAAGCCCCUCGUGGAGACACUUGAUCGUCCGUACCGCAAACCGACACAGGUAGGCGAGGAGAGAAUCCUAAGGCGCUUGAGAGACCCCUGGCCAAGGAACUCGGCAAAAUGCAACCGUAACCUCGGGAGAAGGUUGGCCCCUGCGUAGGUGAAGGGCGGACGCCUGGAGCUGACGGGGGUUGCAGAGAAAUGGGGGUAGCGACUGUUUACUAAAAACACAGGACUCUGCUAAGUCGUAAGACGAAGUAUAGGGUCUGACGCCUGCCCGGUGCCGGAAGGUUAAGAGGAGUUGUCAGCCGCAAGGCGAAGCAACGAAUUGAAGCCCCGGUAAACGGCGGCCGUAACUAUAACGGUCCUAAGGUAGCGAAAUUCCUUGUCGGGUAAGUUCCGACCUGCACGAAUGGCGUAACGACUUCCCCACUGUCUCGGCCAGGGACUCAGCGAAACUGAAGUAGCGGUGAAGAUGCCGUUUACCCGCGACUAGACGGAAAGACCCCGUGAACCUUUACUAUAGCUUGGCAGUGGCAUUCGGACUGUUUUGUGUAGGAUAGGUGGGAGGCAUUGAAGCAGGAACGCCAGUUUCUGUGGAGCCAACCUUGAAAUACCACCCUGAUCCGUUGGAAUGCCUAACCUAGACCCGUUAUCCGGGUCGGGGACACUGCCUGGUGGGUAGUUUGACUGGGGCGGUCGCCUCCUGAAAGGUAACGGAGGCUCACGAAGGUUCCCUCACGCUGAUUGGAAACCAGCGGCUGAGUGUAAAGGCAUAAGGGAGCUUGACUGUGAGACUGACAGGUCGAACAGGUGCGAAAGCAGGUCUUAGUGAUCCGGUGGUUCCGAAUGGAAGGGCCAUCGCUCAACGGAUAAAAGGUACGCCGGGGAUAACAGGCUGA
rnacentral:rRNA from 1 species